UAAGCACCUAUGGAUUCUUCUCAUCAUGCUGAUUUUUGACCUCCACUUGGAAGGAAAGCUAACAGCAAACCAGGACAGAUAAAAGAAGAAGAGAACCAAGCCAACAUAUUAAAGAAGCAAGCUGAGCAAAGCAAGUGCGAGAAGGAACAGCAGAAGGGAGAGGCGAGCAACCCGGCUAUCAGCAGUGGCCAUUUCCAGUGUAGAUAAUGAAUCAUCUCAUGUGUAAUAUUUGCUGAUAAGAUUAAUUGAAUGUGUUAAAUCAAAUUUGUGUCGAAUGAGGUUAAGCAGUAUCUUAGAAGCACAGUUCACCCACAUUAUUCAGAGGUAGAACAUCUAGCUUGUGGUUUAGUCAGUGUUUGGCUCCUUUAUAAUCCAAUUAUCUUGUUAUGUUUUGUGGGACCAAGGAGGUCCAGAUACCUGGUGACUGUCUCCUGACUCCCCACACACAUAGCCCAUAAAGUACAUCUUCCCCAUGUCAGGUUUCAGGGCUACUUGUUACUAGGGCUGAACAACAUUUAGAAGCAUGCUUGGUCAGGGGCCAUGUUGAGGCCAUUAGUCAGAAGUUCCAAAACGUGGUGGAUAUAGGUUGAUGUCUUAUGCCCCAAUACCUCAGAAUGUGGUCUUAUUUAGAAAUAAAACCUUUGCAGAUGUAGUUCAGAUGAAAUCAUUAGGAUGGACCCUGACCCGGUAUAACUGGUGUCCUUACAAAAAGGGGAAAUUUGGGCUGGGUGCAGUGGUUCAUGCCUGUAAUCCCAGCACUUUGGGACACCAAGGCAGGUGGAUUGCUUGAGCCCAGGAAUUCCUGACCAGCCUGGACAACAUAGCAAGACCCCAACCCCACAAAAAAAUACAAAAAUUAGCCAGGGAUGGUGGCAUGUACCUAUAGUCCCAGCUACUCAGGAGGCUGAAGUGGGAGGCUCAAUUGAGCCCAGGAGGUGGAGGAUGUAGUAAGUGGAGAUUUCACCACUGCACUCCAGCCUGGGUGACAGACCUCAUCUCAAAAAAAAUUAAAAAUUAAAAAAGAUAAAAAGGGAAAAUUUGGACACAGACACAGACAGGUACAAGAGUAAAUUAUGUGAAGACUGGAGUUGUGCUGCCACAGGGCAAGGAAUGUCUGGGCUACCAGAAACUGGAAGAGGCAAGGAAAGAUCCUUUGACUACAAGUUUCAGAAAGAGCAUGGCCCUGCCAACACCUUGAUCUUGGACUUCUAACCUCCAGAACUAAGAGACAGUAAAUGUCUGUUGUUCUGAGCCACCCAGAUUGUGGUUCUUUGCUAGGGCAGCCCUAGGAAACAAGUAUGGAUGAUAGAGUCUCUCCCUCUCCAAAAGAAGGGCAUCCCAAGUGAUGCUGGGAAAUACUCAAGAUACUCAAAUACUACUGUGCCCAACUAGCCUGGCUGCUGUAAAGCUCAUCAAAGCACGAGAAGUCUCCUGCCUGCAUGCAUAGGCAGAACCUCUGUCUGUUUUAUAUAUACAUACAUAUACUCCCACCCUCAACUUCCAUUUUCCUUUUUUUUUUUUUUUUUUUUUUUUUGAGAUGGAGUUUCGCUUUAGUUGCCCAUGCUGGAGUGCAAUGGUGCGAUCUGGGCUCACUGCAACCUCCAACCCCUGGGUUCAAGCGAGUCUCCUGCCUCAGCUUUCCAAGUAUCUGGGAUUACAAGCAUGCACCACCACAC
rnacentral:lncRNA from 10 species